AUUGAACGCUGGCGGCAGGCCUAACACAUGCAAGUCGAACGGUAACAGGAAGAAGCUUGCUUCUUUGCUGACGAGUGGCGGACGGGUGAGUAAUGUCUGGGAAACUGCCUGAUGGAGGGGGAUAACUACUGGAAACGGUAGCUAAUACCGCAUAACGUCGCAAGACCAAAGAGGGGGACCUUCGGGCCUCUUGCCAUCGGAUGUGCCCAGAUGGGAUUAGCUAGUAGGUGGGGUAACGGCUCACCUAGGCGACGAUCCCUAGCUGGUCUGAGAGGAUGACCGCCCACGCUGGAACUGAGACACGGUCCAGACUCCUACGGGAGGCAGCAGUUGGGAAUAUUGCACAAUGGGCGCAAGCCUGAUGCAGCCAUGCCGCGUGUAUGAAGAAGGCCUUCGGGUUGUAUAAUACUUUCAGCGGGGAGGAAGGGAGUAAAGUUAAUACCUUUGCUCAUUGACGUUACCCGCAGAAGAAGCACCGGCUAACUCCGUG
rnacentral:rRNA from 1 species